AUGACAUUUAAUAUUGUGGUUCUACUGAUGACAAUAGGCUUGAUAGGUGUCCAGGGUCAGACACUGACUGAGUCUGGACCAGCGGUUAAAACGCCUGGAGAAUCACACCAACUGACCUGUACAGCUUCUGGGUUCACUUUCAGUAGCUACUGGAUGGCUUGGAUCAGACAGCCUCCUGGGAAAGAACUGGAGUGGGUUUCCUAUAUUAGCAGUGGUAGGAGUUCCAUCUACUACUCCCAGUCAGUUCAGGGUCGGUUCACCAUCUCCAGAGACAACAGCAAGCAGCAGAUGUAUCUCCAGAUGAACAGCCUGAAGACUGAAGACUCUGCUGUUUAUUAUUGUGCCAGAGACACACACUGUGAUGCUUUUGACUACUGGGGUAAAGGGACACAAGUCACCGUCUCAACAGCAACCAUAGCCCCCCCUACUCUGCUCACUCUUAUGAACUGUGGAACCCCUACUAACAACGUCUACAGCAUCGGUUGUGUCGCUACCGGGUUUUCUCCUUCCUCACUCACCUUCAAAUGGACAGACGCCAGCGGGAGUGCGCUGACGGACUUCAUCCAGUACCCGGCGGUCCAGAGCGGGGAAACCUACACAGGAGUCAGUCAGCUCCGCGUGGAUGAGAAUGUCUGGAAAACCUCAACGACUUUCAAAUGUUCCGUGGAACAUCCUGGAGGUGAAAAGACAGCAGACAUAAAAAAAAACAGGUAA